AAUUUUUAGUGCCAGCCCAUAAUUCCACAAGCCCACACCCGGGUGCCUCUAUGCCGAAACCCUAGCAAGUUACUGCAGCCGCCUCCAUCUCUCCCAAUCACCCCGUCCAAUCCCAAUCCACAUGUUCCAGCCACCAUCGUCCCCACUUCGGCGCCUUCUAAUGCCACCUCGACGCCGGUGAGGCAUCCGUCCUGGCGCGCACCCAAACGGGGUGGCGGCAGACCUACCUCGAUGGUGUGGUUUGCAUACGGUCAUCAACAGAGGCGAGGAGACGCGGAUCCAGAAGGCAGGCCAUGGCGGCGGCUAGAUCCGUGACGGGACAGGAUCUGCAUCUAGAGACCCAUAACAUGGAGGGAGGAGACCCACGCCAUGGAGUUGUUCGUCAAGGAGCUCCUAUGAGAGCAGUUUGCGGUCGGAGGGCCCGGUGGGCCGGCGAUGGAUGCCGGCGACGGACGUCUCCUCUCCACGGAUCUGUGAUGGAGCGUGUGCUUAUUUUCCUCUCCACGGAUCAAGGCAUAUCCAUUGGAUCCAUGCGGUGUUGGAGGAGAUGAUGCGGCUCGUGUACCUCCCCUUCUUUGCGUAUGUGUAGCAGGUGCAAUAGCUAGAGCGGCCAGAGGAGGUGGAGGAGCUGGCCAGCACCCAUCGCCUGAACAUAAGGCCAAACGACUUCCAUGAUAUUCCAGAAUACUUUGUUCUUGAGGUAAUGCUCUGAGGAAAUUCCUCAUGCAGUAGCUCUUGUUAGAUCAUCAGAUAAGAGCAGCCCGAGACAAGCUGUUGAAUUUAUUCUUCAGCUUCUAAAGUGAUAACAACGGAAAUGUAUACUCUGAUGGCUACUAGCUAGCUGCAAUGGUCCAGGCAAUAGGCAAAGUAGAAUUUGGCCAGCAGGCGACAAUGGCAAGAGCAUAUUGAGCAGAGGAAGACGAUGAGGAGAAACUUGUGGUUCUUAUCCUAUCUUUGUGGAACUCUCUUUAUGUGUGAUUGUGCACUUGUUGGGUCCUUUUUCUGUGCCCUUGCACUUGUAGAAGUAUUCUGUUGUGCACAUGUAAAAUUAUUUUGAUGUGCCUUUUUUAGGCGUUGAACUUUAAUGCGUGGAGUCGUUGGAUGAUGUAUUGUAUUUGAUGUGAUAUGCUACUGAAAUGAAAUAUACAUUUUAUUUA